rnacentral:sRNA from 1 species
UCUUUUUUCGCAAUAAACCACACAUGUACCGUCACGUUCGGACGGGUGCCCGGUGAAAGUCGGGUCUCCGAGCGGGGUGCGUGGAGGCUCAAC